rnacentral:piRNA from 1 species
UCUCAGAUUGUCAUUCGGAGACUCCCCGGU